rnacentral:misc_RNA from 1 species
GCUUUGGGCACGAUGUGGGCACGAUUUUGGGCACGCUGACAAGACUUGCGCCACGGUGACUAGCAGGACUGCCCAUUAAUUUGGUUUUUACGGAUAUUUACCCAGCUUAUGUUGAUGGUCAUUGUAUGAAUGAUGAAGCUAGAGCCAGGGAUCACAGAUGCUGGCUUAUUGGAGCAUUUGUCAGGCAUCUCACAGCUCAACUCCUCUUCUCUAGAGCUUGAGCUACAUGAUGUAAAACAGGAGCCAUUAGAUGAGGCUGUGCCUGACGUGGCGGCGGGGUUCGUCCUCCGGGACGAAGAUGGAAAUGAGCACCAGCUGGACGUUGUGACAGCAGCUGUUGCCUCAGACGAUCCGUUCCUGUGUUUGGACUUUAUACCGGAACCGGAUCCCGCCUCCGAACCGGAACCGGAUCCCGCCUCUGAACCGGAUCCCGCAUCUGAACGGGAACCGGAGGAUGCCGCUGACUCGCCCGGACCGGGUGAGCGCGAUGGAGAACCAGGUGGGAGCGAUGACGCCCCAACUGACCGUCCCAGCCCGGCAGAACGACCCUCUGCCGGCGAAAGAACCCGUGCUGGUGCAAGUAAAGCAAAGUCCGGUGGGAAGAGAACGACAAAGAAGCGCUCCUCGGCGCAGCGUGAUGCAGACAAGAGGCCAAAGCCCACGAGACGGUGUGCCUGCCUGUACUGUGGCGCUGAGGUGUUUAAAAUCUCGCGACAUUUGGCGAGAAGGCACUCAAAUGAAAAAGAGGUCAUUGAUGCGCUGAAAUACCCAAAGUAUUCAAAGGAAAGAAAGGAGCUGUGGCUAAGUGUCGUGAAAAGAGGCAAUUUUCAACAUAAUGUCAAGGUGAUGGCAGCUGGUAAAGGUGAAAUCAUCCCGGUGAAACGAAAGUGGAAAAGGAAUUAUACUGUGCAGAAAGAUGAGUGUGCACGAAAUGAUGAGUAUGCAUCAUGCGACCAGUGUUUCGGUUUCUACUUACGAAGUACGCUGCUCCUACACAAGAUGAGGGUCCAUGGCGUGGAGCAUCCCCAACAGCAGAGGCUUUGCGAGAGCCCUGCCAUCGUGGGCCUCGAUGAGCUACUGACAUCAAUGGAAACUGACAGCGUUGGCGUCGCCUGCAAAACGGACAUGUUGAUCUUGAAGUUCGGCGCCAAAGUGCUCUCAAAGCUGGGACCUUUGGCCAUCGACAAGGCAAAGAUCUGUCGAAGGAUGCGUGAGCUGGGGGAAGUGCUUGUCGAAGUUCGCAAGCGCCGCGAGGGCGUGUCGCUGCAGUCGUGUCUGGAUCCGGCGAGGUUCAAGGAGCUGACAUCGGCCGUGUGGAGGCAGGCGAGACGCUGAGGGAUCGGACACAACGCGCGUGCGUUCGCCAGGACCGUGGGCAAGUCCCUGAGCUCGUGCGCCCGGAUCUUGGUCACCCUCGCGAAGACCGCCGAAGACGCCAAGCUGAAACAGGGGGCUGUGGGUUUUCUGGAUCUGUACGAGAGGCAGUGGCGUGUGAUGACUGGGGUGAUAGCUGAGGAAUCUCUCGGUAAGUCUGUCUCCGUCACAAGCAGGUCGCCGAGGCUGGGGACCUCGGAAAGGGACAGACGGCGACGGUCUUCCCGCAGACAUCAACAGCUCACAGAGAAAGUCUCUGGAAAUCAUGGAGCAACUACAUCGGAGCGAACGGAAGUAACGCGAGCGGAAUCGCGUGGCCACGUUCCUGACCGUAGAAGUUCAAUCCCAGAUGAUCAGCGUAUCAACUAUGAGCAGGCUGGGGGACACCCUGGAAGCGACGGUCAACCUGUGGAUCAGCACUCGAAGCGGACUGAGCAUCCAGAGAGCGGCAGAGAACGUACCGCAACCGAAGCACCUCAAAAUAGUACCAGACUACCUGAAGGACAGUGCAAAAACCUCAAUCAACCUGUGCGGCAGCGUCUCGAAAGUCCUCAACAUCCUGAGGUCAACACUGCCAGAGAAACAUCAUCUUCCUCGUUUCAAGACGUUCCCCGAGGCCCUGAGGAACACCUCGAAGGCAACGCCAGAGCUGAGCGGGAGCAUACCGCUCUCGAUGAGAGUGAUUCCACGACGGCUGGUGAACGCACCCUGUUAGCUCCUCGCGAGGGAACCUUACGUCACCACCCGGGCACCAAGCGCAGGAGGUCACCUGUUGGACGCCCUACCUACAAACGCAGGCCCUGGUCGCAGGAGGAGAAGGAAGCCGUCGAACGGAGACUGAACUGGUUCGUUCGUAAGCUCGUGGUUCCCGGGCUGGACUACUGCCGAGCGGCGCUGAAGGAGGAACCGGCUCUGAGUUCACGCACGUGGCGGGACGUGAAGUACUGUGUCUACAACAUGAUCCAGCGGAGGAAGCGACACGGAGACUGUGCCGAAGACUCGGACUGAUGUGUGUUUUGGAUUCAGCUGCCUGAGGAUGAAAAGUGGACUGAGGUGUGGUUUUCUGAUCCGCCCUGAUUAGCUGCCGUGAAGACCGAAGGAUCUCUGUCGCGGGGAGUUGUACAAAACGCUACGUCAAAGAUAAUGUGUGACAAUGAGUUGAAUGCAUUACGUGUUCUGACUCUGAUGUGCGACAUUUGUGUGCCAUACUGUUACUUCUAUUGUGAGGAGCAUAUUGCUAGUAUUUUGUGGUAUCACUGAGACAACGCUUGUAUUACAUUGUUCUUUCAUCAGAAGGCGCUAGUUCUUUCAUCUCACACCUAGUACCUGCGCAUUUUUGCUGGAGUUCAUUCGUCAUAAGACGCUUGCUUGAUCGUCAAUAAAGGAGAUACUUUGUAA